UACGAAGGGGGCUAGCGUUGCUCGGAAUUACUGGGCGUAAAGGGCUCGUAGGCGGCCAACUAAGUCGGAUGUGAAAUCCCCAGGCUUAACCUGGGAACUGCAUCCGAUACUGGAUGGCUUGAAUCCGGGAGAGGGAUGCAGAAUUCCAGGUGUAGCGGUGAAAUGCGUAGAUAUCUGGAGGAAUACCGGUGGCGAAGGCGGCAUCCUGGACCGGCAUUGACGCUGAGUGAGCGAAAGCCAGGGGAGCAAACGGG
rnacentral:rRNA from 1 species